UACGGAGGGGGCCAGCGUUGUUCGGAAUCAUUGGGCGUAAAGGGCGCGUAGGCGGCUGCGCAAGUCGGACGUGAAAUCCCCCGGCUCAACCGGGGAAUUGCAUCCGAAACUGCGCGGCUCGAGUCCUGGAGAGGGUAGUGGAAUUCCCAGUGUAGCGGUGAAAUGCGUAGAUACUGGGAGGAACACCGGUGGCGAAGGCGGCUACCUGGACAGGUACUGACGCUGAGGCGCGAAAGCCAGGGGAGCAAACAGG
rnacentral:rRNA from 1 species